UACAGAGGGUGCGAGCGUUAAUCGGAUUUACUGGGCGUAAAGCGUGUGUAGGCGGUUUGUUAAGUCGGGUGUGAAAUCCCUGGGCUCAACCUGGGAAUUGCAUUCGAUACUGGCAGGCUAGAGUACGGUAGAGGGCGGCGGAAUUCCGGGUGUAGCGGUGAAAUGCGUAGAUAUCUGGAGGAACACCGGUGGCGAAGGCGGCAUCCUGGACCGGCAUUGACGCUGAGGCGCGAAAGCUAGGGGAGCAAACGGG
rnacentral:rRNA from 1 species